rnacentral:rRNA from 1 species
GCCGAAGCACGUAAGGGCGUACGGUGGAUGGCUAGGCAGCGAGGAGCCGACGAAGGACGUGGCAGCCUGCGAUAAGCCUCGGGGAGGUGGCAAGCAACCUUUGAUCCGAGGAUUUCCGAAUGGGGAAACCCCUUUGCACGAACUGCAAAGACCCACAUCUGAAUACAUAGGGUGUGUGGAGGGCACCUGGGGAAGUGAAACAUCUCAGUACCCAGAGGAAAAGAAAAAAAGUAUACGCAGACUUCUUGUCUCACCAGAUCAAUCAUGGUCUGGACAGAGACAAGAUGUCUGCAUCAUUCCCUGAGUAGCGGCGAGCGAAACGGGAACAGCCGAAACUUUCAUGAUUAAUCUUCUGCACCGAGUUGGACGCAAGUUUAACCGCGGGCAGGAGAGGCGAGCUUGGGCUAUCGUCAUGAAGGGGUUGCGGGACAGAAGCAUGUAUCACCCAAGAGAUGCGUGGAGAGCAGAUGAUAUUAGUUGAAUCCGCUGGAAAGCGGAACCAAAGACGGUGAUAGUCCGGUAAACGAAAAUAUCCAUCUCCUCCAGUUUUUGAUCCAUAGUACGACGAGGCACGAGAAACCUCGUCGGAAGCAGCCACGACGAUGUGGCAAGGCUAAAUACUCCUCCUGACCGAUAGUGAACAAGUACCGUGAGGGAAAGCUGAAAAGUAGCCCGGGAGGGCGAUGAAAUAGUAUCUGAAACCGUACGCUUACAAGGAGUUGGAACGGUGCCUCACUUGUGUUCGACACACGUUAGCUUCUUAGGCAUUAGCUUGUAGCUUCUUAGGUCAGCCUAAGAAGCUGAAGGCUAAGAAGCUAAAAAGCUAAAGCAAGUGACGAGCGUGAGCGAGGCACCGCGACAGCGUUCCUAUUGAAGAAUGAGCCGACGAGUGUGCUAUACGUCGCUUGGUUAAGUUCCUGCGGGAGCGAAGCCACAGUGAAAGCGAGCCUGAAUAGGGCGUGCCCCGUAGAGCGCAAGCUUUUACGGGGCGUUGGUGGCGUAUACACGACCCGAAACCCGGCGAUCUAUCCAUGUCCAGGAUGAAGUUCCGCGAAAGCGGAAUGGAGGUCCGAACCCACGAGCCGUGCAACACUCGGGGAUGAGAUGUGGAUAGCGGUGAAAUUCCAAUCGAGCUGGGUGAUAGCUGGUUCUCCCUGAAAUAGAUUUUGGUCUAGCGCUGAUUUAUAGCAUGGUGGAGGUAGAGCACUGAAUGGGAAUCGGGGCGCAAGCCUACGAUUUCCAACCAAACUCCGAAUGCCACCAUGUGUUCCCAGCAGUCAGUCCUUGGGGGCUAAGCUCCAACGGACAAAAGGGAAACAGCCCUUGAUCGCAGACUAAGGUCCCUAAAUUCAUACUCAGUGUCAAAGGUGGUCGGGUGACUUAAACAACCAGGAGGUUGGCUUAGAAGCAGCCAUCCUUUAAAGA